CUACGGGCCGCUGCAGUAAGGAAUAUUGGGCAAUGGACGCAAGUCUGACCCAGCCAUGCCGCGUGCAGGAUGACAGCCCUACGGGUUGUAAACUGCUUUUAUACGGGAAAAAACCCCUGCACGAGUUGCGGGGUUGAUGGUACCGUAAGAAUAAGCAUCGGCUAACUCCGUGCCAGCAGCCGCGGUAAUACGGAGGAUGCAAGCGUUAUCCGGAUUCAUUGGGUUUAAAGGGUGCGUAGGCGGAAUGAUAAGUCAGUGGUGAAAUCCUACAGCUUAACUGUAGAACUGCCAUUGAUACUGUUGUUCUUGAGUACAGUUGAAGUGGGCGGAAUGUGUCAUGUAGCGGUGAAAUGCAUAGAGAUGACACAGAACACCGAUCGCGAAGGCAGCUCACUAAACUGUAACUGACGCUGAGGCACGAAAGCGUGGGGAUCAAACAGGAUUAGAUACCCUCGUAGUC
rnacentral:rRNA from 1 species